rnacentral:misc_RNA from 1 species
GUUCACUCCAACUGUUCUUUUUGUUCUUCUCAAUGUUAUGAUAGGUACCAUUGCUUUUACUUCUUCCUUAGCUAACCAAAAACAUAAUCAUCCAAAACAACAAGAAGACAACUCACAUCAACAGGAAGAUUACUCACAAAAUCGACAACAGCCCACUAAACUUGUGAGAUCUCCUUCUCUUCUUCAACGCAUCAAAUCCAUUAAUUUCGCCAAUUACAGAUCUCAUGAACAUCCCCAUCAGCAAGAAACCCCACCAUUUGAACCACCAACACAUUACAUUUUUGAACCAGCUCCUGAACAUACUACCGUAGAACCAGACACCACCACCACCCAGUAUGUUUUCAAUCAAGACAAGAAUGUCCAAAAGCCACAAACCCACUACGAUUUCCAGCAAAUACAUCAGGAAAAUCUCCCAGAUACACAGACCCAGUACCUAUUUCAGCACACCCAAGAACAAAAAUUCGGAAAUAUUGAACCGGACUUCCAUUUUGAAGAAACCCUUCAUGAUAAAUCGAAAUCGACCCAGUUCAAUUUCCAGCACACCCACGAACAGAAACUUAAAGAUAUGGAGACCCAUUUCAAUUUUCAGCAUAUCGAGGAGGAAAACG